UUGGGGAAUAACAGCCGGAAACGGCUGCUAAUACCGCAUAAUGCAGCGGCUCGACAUCGAGACAGUUGUUAAAGCGGGGACCGGAGCAAUCCGACCUCGCGCCUUAAGAGGAGCCUGCGGCAGAUUAGCUAGUUGGCAGGGUAAUGGCCUACCAAGGCGACGAUCUGUAACCGGCCUGAGAGGGCGGUCGGUCACACUGACACUGACAUACGGGUCAG
rnacentral:rRNA from 1 species